rnacentral:rRNA from 1 species
CCAGUGACUCUGUUCAACGGCCGCGGUAUCCUAACCGUGCGAAGGUAGCGUAAUCACUUGUUCUUUAAAUGAGGACUAGUAUGAAUGGCACCACGAAGGUUAUACUGUCUCCUUUCUCUAAUCAGUGAAACUAAUCUCCCCGUGAAGAAGCGGGGAUAAAUCUAUAAGACGAGAAGACCCUAUGGAGCUUUAAACAAGUAACAAUUGCCUUAACUAAUUUCUUAAUCUCCGGAGAUUUACCCCUUUAUCCAGGCACUUUAAUUACAAGUUUUAGGUUGGGGUGACCGCGGAGCAUAAAAUAACCUCCACAGUGAAUGGGACUUAUUCCCUAAACCCAGGGCUACAACCCUAAGCAUCAAUAAAUUGACACCUAUUGACCCAAUAUUUUUGAUCAAUGAACCAAGUUACCCUAGGGAUAACAGCGCAAUCCACUUCAAGAGCCCCUAUCGACAAGUGGGUUUACGACCUCGAUGUUGGAUCAGGGUAUCCCAGUGGUGCAGCCGCUACUAAAGGUUCGUUUGUUCAACGA